rnacentral:rRNA from 1 species
AUUGAACGCUGGCGGCAGGCCUAACACAUGCAAGUCGAGCGAGCGGCGGACGGGUGAGUAAUGUAUGGGGAACUGCCCGAUGGAGGGGGAUAACUACUGGAAACGGUGGCUAAUACCGCAUACUAUCGGAUGUGCCCAUAUGGGAUUAGCUAGUAGGUGGGGUAAUGGCUCACCUAGGCGACGAUCCCUAGCUGGUCUGAGAGGAUGACCAGCAAAACUGGGACUGAGACACGGCCCAGACUCCUACGGGAGGCAGCAGUGGGGAAUAUUGCACAAUGGGCGCAAGCCUGAUGCAGCCAUGCCGCGUGUAUGAAGAAGGCCUUAGGGUUGUAAAGUACUUUCAGCGGGGAGGCGUUACCCGCAGAAGAAGCACCGGCUAACUCCGUGCCAGCAGCCGCGGUAAUUC